rnacentral:lncRNA from 1 species
AACAGUGGUUUCGGGGCCACCAAAUCCGAACGAGUAGGUUGGUAAAUAUUAUAUUUAAUAUUUACGAGUUAAUAGUGAUUUUAAAAUUGUUUUUGAUAUUGUGAUUUUUGUUUUAUAAGCGAUUUAUUAAGUUCAAGUGGUAUGACCCUAAGGUCAAGUGGGUUUAGAAAAUGAGGUAUCGGGACCUUGUUCCUAUAAACCGAGUCGUAAAUAUUUUUAUAAAUAUUUACGUAGUGGAAAUAAGAUGGUAUUAAAGUUUCGUUGAAAAAUUUUAUCGUUUCGAUAGUUAAUUAAACAAAAAGGACUAAAUUGUGUAAAGUGCAACAGUUGUGUUCUAUAACCUAAAGGUAUUAAAUAGAUAUAGAACUUAGACGUAGAAGUCCUUAUUUGGUAAUUAGCCCAAUUAAAGAGAUAGUGGGAUAUGAUGGCUUGGCAUUUGGUGUAAUAAAUAAAGUGUAUAAAGGUUAAUAUUGUAAAUUGGUUAAAAAUAAUAAUAAAAUGAAUAUAAUAAAAGAAUCAAGGUGUCAUCUUUUUCAUUCUCUUUUUACCAGCCGAAUAUGAAGGCUUGAGAAGCCAUGGAAGAAGCUUCCAACUUUCAGUUAAUGCAUGGUAGGAAUUUCUAGUCCCGUUUUUAAUUAUUUUUAUAUUUUCGGGAUCGUUGUUGCUUAAUCUAUCUAAUGAGAGGACUAUUUUUGCAAAACCAUUGAAUAGUUUGAUAUUUCCAUUGAUGAGUAUAAUAGGGCUUUGAAGUUUAAUGGAAGAAUAUGAGUCAUUGUUGAUAGUUAAACACAUUUUGUUAAGUGAAUUUUUGUGAAAUUGACAAUUAAGGGCUAAAUUGAUAAAUGUGAAAACUUUGUGGUUAAAAUGUCAAAUAAAUGAAAUGUGUGGGCUUCUAGAGACACUAGUGAUAUUCGUCUAUAGUAGAAUUUUACUCAAUUUCAUGAAUUUGCAUUUUUAUGGUAUAGGGGCUAAAUUGUAAAGAAGUUGAAAUAUUAGGGGCAAAACUAUAAUUUUGCCAUAAAGUGAAUUAUGGACUGUUUUGAUACCAUGAACAUUUCGCUAAGCUUAAUUAUGGUUAAAAAUGGUUAAUUUGCAUGUUUUGAGCUCAGAGACUAAAAUGAAUAAAAGUAAAACUUUAGGGGUAAUUUUGUAAAAAUGAAAAAAAUGACCAAAUUGUAUGAAAUGAGGUGUUUUAAUGUCUAAAUUAAUAUACUGAAUGAAAUUAUUAAUUUAGAUCAAGAUCGGGUGGAAAAUCGAGAAAAUUACCAAAAUGCCCCUGAACUUUGGUAUCUCUACAAUUUAGCCAGGUAAGUUCCUAUGCAAUAAGCAUUGUUAAAUUGAUGUUUCCAAUGCUUUAAUAUUGUAUAAAUUGUAUAUACGUGAAUAUUUUAAUGUCUGACGACAUAUCGACAAAAUGUGGCACUUAGUGUGCGGGGCAAUCAAAUAUGGUACUCAGUGUACGAAAUAUUGAGAAUGGCACUUAGUGUGCGAGGUAUUGAGAAUGACACUUAGUGUGCAAAAUAUCGAAUGAUUCAAAGGGAAAUUAUAAAUUGUGAUUGAAUGAUUAAAUAGAGCAAAGUGAACAGGUAUACAUGCUAUAUUAUAUGAAUUGUUUAUGAGACGACUUGAUAAUGAUGAUAUUUGGGCUUUAAGACUAGCAAGCUUUAAGCUGGUGAAUAAUAUUAUCGGGUUUAAAACCUAGCAGGCUAAAUGCCGGUGAUUUGAUAAAAGUCUAAGACUAUGAGACCUUGUGUUAAAUCGGCAAUUGAAUUUGUUCAAUGCAUUAAGUUGGCCAGGUAUGUGAUAUAUUCUUAUGCAUGUUAGAUCGAUUGGAAUUGAAUCAUGAAUGUGAAAUGAGAAGCAUAGGUGAAAAUGCCUAUGUCAUAUAUGUGAGUAAGGGCAAAACCAUCGUAAAUUAUCGAUAAGGGUGGACUAUGUGCGGAAUCAUUUUAUUAUUGCUAAUUUGAACGGUUGUGUGCUAAUCAUUGAGCAUGAUGUAUUGUAUUGAGAUUAUGCUUGAGUGAAAUUAUAGAUAUGUGAUGAAAUUGAUUGGUGAUAUACAUGUUUAAAUAAUGUGAAUGCAAAGAAUGUGUGAAAGAGUAAAUUUGUAAUAAACCUGCUUGGGAGAGCAGCAGUAACGUGAUUUUGGAAAAUCACCAUAAAUUGUUGGAGUUGAGUUAGAAGCUGAAUAAAUUAUGUAAUUAAAGCUUAAUGAUUCUAGUUUCUUAUAAAAGAAACCGUGUAAGCAAAAGAAUUUCUGAUAAUGAGAUAUUUGAAGUGGCGUGGGAUAGAGUCAAAUGACUUCGGGGUCCCCUGUUCUGUUUUUAGAAAAUCAUUAUAAUUUGUACAAAAAUGGUUAUAAGAUAAAAUUUAUAUGCUUAGACUCCUUAAUGAGUCUAGUUUCAAAUGAAAUCAAAUAGAACAUAUUUUGAAUUAUGUAUGAGAAAUUUGAUUCGAAGUGAAGAGUGGUCAGAUUAGUUAAACAGUGAAACAGGGGAAACUUUAAGAAAAAUCUGGUAUUGAUUGGCCAAACCUAAAAUUCUGAAAAUUUUAUGGAUGGAAGAUUACAAGUGCGGAAUAACAGAGUCUCGUGAUUGAAAGAUUAGUAUUGUGAUCAGAUAAUAGAAUGAGUCCGCAAGUGAAGACAGUAACAGAAAAGAUAUUGGAUCGUGUUGAAGGCCAUUUGUAAUAUGCAAAGUCACUGUUAAAACAAAAGUUGAAUUAAAUGAAACCAAAUAUUCAGGUAUGAUAUCUAAAGAAUAUAUUAACUGGAAGUUCUUCCGAAUUGGCCUCCGUUAGUGUUGGGAUAAUGAGAAAUUAGUGAUGUGAGAGAUAGACAGUAGAAUCAUAUUUGAAUUAUAAAGAUAUUUGAGCACAUCAAUUAUAGUCGAAUGGUUUACGAGAACUCUUUUGGGUAUUCUAUGUGUUCAAUUAUCCUCAGAGGUAUGUGAAGCUAUAUUUUUUCAGAUGAAAUUCUUAUCAUAUGAGAACGUUAUCUAUAUAAAUUGAUAUAUGAAAGCAUUGUUGGGCUGUUCGGGUUACAAUCAGCAUUAUUAUAUCUUUCUCUGGUAUUCUAUUUCAUUUUAUUGAAAGAAAAGAUCGACGAUUAAAUCUGUGUGAUGUUGGUAUUCUGCUCCUACUGGUUGUUGAUCUGCUUAGUAUACAUGAAGAUUAUAUUGUUUCUGUUACUGUUGAUUCCGAUGCAUAUAAGUGAUGCUUUACUUCUGGAUUUUCUCUGAAACAUCAUUGAGAUAUCUAUCAUCUGAUAUGGGUGCUUUCUUAAAAAAGAUUAGUAUAGUGAUAUAUUCGAGAAUUACAGUAUCUCUGCUUUCUUAUGAUUCUAUAUGGUUAUCUGUGAAAAAUAUCUAUUGAAUGACUGUAACUAUAUUUCAAUUUCUCUUAUGGUCAAAAUGCAUUAUUGAUAAUUGGGACAUUAUAUAUCUAUACGGUUGAGAUGUCAGCCUUAUUAUGGCACUAUGAUUUUAAAUUAUCUGAUGGUUGUGGCUUCAGUAUGGUUCAAAGCUUCGUUGAUUAAUAAUUGAAAAGUUAUUACUUGACAGUCGAGAUCGAUUCAGUUGUCUAGUUUGAUUAGAUUAAUUGCUUGAAGGAUUAAUCGAGUUACUUGUAUCUGAAUCUAUCCACAGGGUGGAAAUAAAGUUUGAAUGUUCACGGAUAAAUAGAUGAAUAUUCUGAAUGCAUGAUUCAUAUUCUAAAAGAUAUGAUACAGAAUUAUAUCCAUCAGAACGAUUUUAUUGAGAAAUGUUCUUAUAGAUCGCGAUUGGGAAGUCUGAAUGAUGUGAUAAUUAUCAAUAAAGUGGUAAAUAGUUGAAGAAAUUGUUAAUUGAAGCGUCAGUUCUCAGGUGAAGAGUUAUUCGACACAAGAAUUAAAGAUGGUUUGAACUGUUGAAAGAUUAUGAGUCAGCGAUUGAUUAUCAAUCUGGACAAAUGAUUAUAGUCUUUGGGUUCUGAGCGAGAAUCUUUAUGUGUUUUACGGCCGAUAAUCAUGUGAUUAAUCUUAUCAAAUGAUGAGUAGUUAUUGGCUGAGCUAGAAACUAAAUUGAUGUUUAAUUAGCAAAAUUGAUGAGUAGUUAAAAAGGGUAUAACGUAAAUUGAUUUCUGAUUUAGAAUUUCAGAUUGGAACCUACAAUUGUUCGUUAUGUCGAGAUAGAGUUCGUGUAUUGAGAAAUCCAGAGAUUUUACAACAAUUGUGACAUCUAGCACAGUGGUAAUUAUCUGUCCGUAUGGGGAGUACUAAAAGAGUGCUAGUUUUCAUUGUUCAAAUGGAGACACGAGGAUUAUAUCGUGUUAUUAAAAAAACUACUAUGAGCUUUGGGUAUGGAAUUACUUUGUAACACUGUGUUCUAGAACUUGAAAGCAACCGAGAAAGACAUUUAUUGUUGGUUAAGUUUGCAUAUAAUAAUAGUUAUGAGAUGAAUGUUAAGAUAGCAUUGUAUGAGUGUGGUAUGGUUGCAAUUAUUGAACUUUGUUGUAUUGAAUUGAAUUUUUAUAAAAAGAAUUUCGGGGUCGAUGUGAUUGGAAAGACUGAAGGGAAAUGAAAGUAAUUCAUGACCGUCUAAAAACAGUUUCAGAUUUGCAGAAAAUAUAUGUGGGCUUGAUGCGUAAAAGAAUUGAAUUUUUAAUUAGAAAAUUGAGUAUUUGUAAAGGUAUUAUAGUGGGAAUAGAAUUUCUAAAUUUAGCUAUAAAGAGAAGUUGAGUUCGCAGUUCAUCGGAUUGAAUGAGAUUAUUAUCAAAACUUGAGAAGACCCGUAAUGUGUUUUUUAUAUAUAUGAUGUGAUGAUACAAAUAAGAUCCUUUAUCUAUAGUAUCUCUUAUAGAAGUAGAAACUCAACUUGUUAUGAUGUAUAGCAAAGAGCAGAACAUAAUCUUAGCUCAUGAGAUUGAAAAGUUGAGAAAUCUGAGGCUAGAUGAGAAAUUGUUGAGGUUGGUGAAAGAAAAUCACUAAUUUAUUCUCUGGCAAGAUUUUCGGGGACGAAAAUCCCUAAGGGGGGAGAGUUGUAACAGCCCGUUUUUUUAGGGUUGAUCAAAACAGUGGUUUCGGGGCCACCAAAUCUGAACGAAUAGGUUGGUAAAUAUUAUAUUUAAUAUUUACGAGUUAAUUGUGAUUUUAAAAUUGUUUUUGAUAUUGUGAUUUUUGUUUUAUAAGCGAUUUAUUAAGUUCAAGUGGUAUGACUCUAAGGUCAAGUGGGUUUAGAAAAUGAGGUAUCGGGACCUUGUUUCUAUAAACAGAGUCGUAAAUAUUUUUAUAAAUAUUUACGUAGUGGAAAUAAGAUGGUAUUAAAGUUUCGUUGAAAAAUUUUAUCGUUUCGAUAGUUAAUUAAACAAAAAGGACUAAAUUGUGUAAAGUGCAAAAGUUGUGUUCUAUAACUAAAGGUAUUAAAUAGAUAUAGAACUUAAAAGUAGAAGUCCUUAUUUGGUAAUUAGCCCAUUAAAGAGAUAGUGGGAUAUGAUGGCUUGGCAUUUGGUGUAAUAAAUAAAGUGUAUAAAGGUUAAUAUUGUAAAUUGGUUAAAAAUAAUAAUAAAAUGAAUAUAAUAAAAGAAUCAAGGUGUCAUCUUUUUCAUUCUCUUUUUACCAGCCGAAUAUGAAGGCUUGAGAAGCCAUGGAAGAAGCUUCCAACUUUCAGCUAAUGCAUGGUAGGCAUUUCUAGUCCCGUUUUUAAUUAUUUUUAUAUUUUCGGGAUCGUUGUUGCUUAAUCUAUCUAAUGAGGGGACUAUUUUGCAAAACCAUUGAAUAGUUUGAUAUUGCCAUUGAUGAGUAUAAUAGGGCUUUGAAGUUUAAUGGAAGAAUAUGAGUCAUUGUUGAUAGUUAAACACUUUUUGUUAAGUGAAUUUUUGUAAAAUUGACAAUUAAGGGCUAAAUUGAUAAAUGUGAAAACUUUGUGGUUAAAAUGUCAAAUAAAUGAAAUUUGUGGGCUUCUAGAGACACUAGUGAUAUUCGUCUAUAGUAGAAUUUUACUCAAUUUCAUGAAUUUGCAUUUUUAUGGUAUAGGGACUAAAUUGUAAAGAAGUUGAAAUAUUAGGGGCAAAAUUAUAAUUUUGCCAUAAAGUGAAUUAUGGACUGUUUUGAUACCAUGAACAUUUGGCUAAGCUUAAUUAUGGUUAAAAAUGGUUAAUUUGCAUGUUUUGAGCUCAGGGACUAAAAUGAAUAAAAGUAAAACUUUAGGGGUAAUUUUGUAAAAAUGAAAAAAAUGACCAAAUUGUAUGAAAUGAGGUGUUUUAAUGUCUAAAUUAAUAUACUGAAUGAAAUUAUUAAUUUAGAUCAAGAUCGGGUGGAAAAUCGAGAAAAUAAGAAAAUUACCAAAAUGCCCCUGAACUUUGGUAUCUCUACAAUUUAGCCAGGUAAGUUCCUAUGCAAUAAGCAUUGUUAAAUUGAUGUUUCUAAUGCUUUAAUAUUGUAUAAAUUGUAUAUACGUGAAUAUUUUAAUGUCUGACGACAUAUCGACAAAAUGUGGCACUUAGUGUGCAGGGCAAUCAAAUAUGGUACUCAGUGUACGAAAUAUUGAGAAUGGCACUUAGUGUGCGAGGUAUUGAGAAUGACACUUAGUGUGCAAAAUAUCGAAUGAUUCAAAGGGAAAUUAUAAAUUGUGAUUGAAUGAUUAAAUAGAGUAAAGUGAACAGGUAUACAUGCUAUAUUAUAUGAAUUGUUUAUGAGACGACUUUAUAAUGGUGAUAUUUGGGCUUUAAGACUAGCAAGCUUUAAGCUGGUGAAUAAUAUUAUCGGGUUUAAAACCUAGCAGGCUAAAUGCCGGUGAUUUGAUAAAAGUCUAAGACUAUGAGACCUUGUGUUAAAUCGGCAAUUGAAUUUGUUCAAUGCAUUAAGUUGGCCAGGUAUGUGAUAUAUUCUUAUGCAUGUUAGAUCGAUUGGAAUUGAAUCAUGAAUGUGAAAUGAGAAGCAUAGGCGAAAAUGCCUAUGUCAUAUAUGUGAGUAAGGGCAAAACCAUCGUAAAUUAUCGAUAAGGGUGGACUAUGUGCGGAAUCAUCUUAUAAUUGCUAAUUUGAACGGUUGUGUGCUAAUCAUUGAGCAUGAUGUAUUGUAUUGAGAUUAUGCUUGAGUGAAAUUAUAGAUAUGUGAUGAAAUUGAUUGGUGAUAUACAUGUUUAAAUAAUGUGAAUGCAAAGAAUGUGUGAAAGAGUAAAUUUGUAAUAAACCUGCUUGGGAGAGCAGCAGUAACGUGAUUUUGGAAAAUCACCAUAAAUUGUUGGAGUUGAGUUAGAAGCUGAAUAAAUUAUGUAGUUAAAGCUUAAUGAGUCUAGUUUCUUAUAAAAGAAACCGUGUAAGCAAAAGAAUUUCUGAUAAUGAGAUAUUUGAAGUGGCGUGGGAUAGAGUCAAAUGACUUCGGGGUCCCCUAUUCUGUUUUUAGAAAAUCAUUAUAAUUUGUACAAAAAUGGUUAUAAGAUAAAAUUUAUAUGCUUAGACUCCUUAAUGAGUCUAGUUUCAAAUGAAAUCAAAUAGAACAUAUUUUGAAUUAUGUAUGAGAAAUUUGAUUCGAAGUGAAGAGUGGUCAGAUUAGUUAAACAAUGAAACAGGGGAAACUUUAAGAAAAAUCUGGUAUUGAUUGGCCAAACCUAAAAUUCUGAAAAUUUUAUGGAUGGAAGAUUACAAGUGCGGAAUAACAGAGUCUCGUGAUUGAAAGAUUAGUAUUGUGAUCAGAUAAGAGAAUGAGUCCGCAAGUGAAGACAGUAACAGAAAAGAUAUUGGAUCGUGUUGAAGGCCAUUUGUAAUAUGCAAAGUCACUGUUAAAACAAAAGUUGAAUUAAAUGAAACCAAAUAUUCAGGUAUGAUAUCUAAAGAAUAUAUUAACUGGAAGUUCUUCCGAAUUGGCCUCCGUUAGUGUUGGGAUAAUGAGAAAUUAGUGAUGUGAGAGAUAGACAGUAGAAUCAUAUUUGAAUUAUAAAGAUAUUUGAGCACAUCAAUUAUAGUCGAAUGGUUUACGAGAACUCUUUUGGGUAUUCUAUGUGUUCAAUUAUCCUCAGAGGUAUGUGAAGCUAUAUUUUUUCAGAUGAAAUUCUUAUCAUAUGAGAACGUUAUCUAUAUAUAUUGAUAUAUGAAAGCAUUGUUGGGCUGUUCGGGUUACAAUCAGCAUUAUUAUAUCUUUCUCUGGUAUUCUAUUUCAUUUUAUUGAAAGAAAAGAUCGACGAUUAAAUCUGUGUGAUGUUGGUAUUCUGCUCCUACUGGUUGUUGAUCUGCUUAGUAUACAUGAAGAUUAUAUUGUUUCUGUUACUGUUGAUUCCGAUGCAUAUAAGUGAUGCUUUACUUCUGGAUUUUCUCUGAAACAUCAUUGAGAUAUCUAUCAUCUGAUAUGGGUGCUUUCUUAAAAAAGAUUAGUAUAGUGAUAUAUUCGAGAAUUACAGUAUCUCUGCUUUCUUAUGAUUCUAUAUGGUUAUCUGUGAAAAAUAUCUAUUGAAUGACUGUAACUAUAUUUCAAUUUCUCUUAUGGUCAAAAUGCAUUAUUGAUAAUUGGGACAUUAUAUAUCUAUACGGUUGAGAUGUCAGCCUUAUUAUGGCACUAUGAUUUUAAAUUAUCUGAUGGUUGUGGCUUCAGUAUGGUUCAAAGCUUCGUUGAUUAAUAAUUGAAAAGUUAUUACUUGACAGUCGAGAUCGAUUCAGUUGUCUAGUUUGAUUAGAUUAAUUGCUUGAAGGAUUAAUCGAGUUACUUGUAUCUGAAUCUAUCCACAGGGUGGAAAUAAAGUUUGAAUGUUCACGGAUAAAUAGAUGAAUAUUCUGAAUGCAUGAUUCAUAUUCUAAAAGAUAUGAUACAGAAUUAUAUCCAUCAGAACGAUUUUAUUGAGAAAUGUUCUUAUAGAUCGUGAUUGGGAAGUCUGAAUGAUGUGAUAAUUAUCAAUAAAGUGGUAAAUAGUUGAAGAAAUUGUUAAUUGAAGCGUCAGUUCUCAGGUGAAGAGUUAUUCGACACAAGAAUUAAAGAUGGUUUGAACUGUUGAAAGAUUAUGAGUCAGCGAUUGAUUAUCAAUCUGGACAAAUGAUUAUAGUCUUUGGGUUCUGAGCGAGAAUCUUUAUGUGUUUUACGGCCGAUAAUCAUGUGAUUAAUCUUAUCAAAUGAUGAGUAGUUAUUGGCUGAGCUAGAAACUAAAUUGAUGUUUAAUUAGCAAAAUUGAUGAGUAGUUAAAAAGGGUAUAACGUAAAUUAAUUUCUGAUUUAGAAUUUCAGAUUGGAACCUACAAUUGUUCGUUAUGUCGAGAUAGAGUUCGUGUAUUGAGAAAUCCAGAGAUUUUACAACAAUUGUGACAUCUAGCACAGUGGUAAUUAUCUGUCCGUAUGGGGAGUACUAAAAGAGUGCUAGUUUUCAUUGUUCAAAUGGAGACACGAGGAUUAUAUCGUGUUAUUAAAAUAAACUACUAUGAGCUUUGGGUAUGGAAUUACUUUGUAACACUGUGUUCUAGAACUUGAAAGCAACCGAGAAAGACAUUUAUUGUUGGUUAAGUUUGCAUAUAAUAAUAGUUAUGAGAUGAAUGUUAAGAUAGCAUUGUAUGAGUGUGGUAUGGUUGCAAUUAUUGAACUUUGUUGUAUUGAAUUGAAUUUUUAUAAAAAGAAUUUCGGGGUCGAUGUGAUUGGAAAGACUGAAGGGAAAUGAAAGUAAUUCAUGACCGUCUAAAAACAGUUUCAGAUUUGCAGAAAAUAUAUGUGGGCUUGAUGCGUAAAAGAAUUGAAUUUUUAAUUAGAAAAUUGAGUAUUUGUAAAGGUAUUAUAGUGGGAAUAGAAUUUCUAAAUUUAGCUAUAAAGAGAAGUUGAGUUCGCAGUUCAUCGGAUUGAAUGAGAUUAUUAUCAAAACUUGAGAAGACCCGUAAUGUGUUUUUUUUAUAUAUGAUGUGAUGAUACAAAUAAGAUCCUUUAUCUAUAGUAUCUCUUAUAGAAGUAGAAACUCAACUUGUUAUGAUGUAUAGCAAAGAGCAGAACAUAAUCUUAGCUCAUGAGAUUGAAAAGUUGAGAAAUCUGAGGCUAGAUGAGAAAUUGUUGAGGUUGGUGAAAGAAAAUCACUAAUUUAUUCUCUGGCAAGAUUUUCGGGGACGAAAAUCCCUAAGGGGGGAGAGUUGUAACAGCCCGUUUUUUUAGGGUUGAUCAAAACAGUGGUUUCGGGGCCACCAAAUCUGAACGAAUAGGUUGGUAAAUAUUAUAUUUAAUAUUUACGAGUUAAUUGUGAUUUUAAAAUUAUUUUUGAUAUUGUGAUUUUUGUUUUAUAAGCGAUUUAUUAAGUUCAAGUAGUAUGACUCUAAGGUCAAGUGGGUUUAGAAAAUGAGGUAUCGGGACCUUGUUUCUAUAAACCGAGUCAUAAAUAUUUUUAUAAAUAUUUACGUAGUGGAAAUAAGAUGGUAUUAAAGUUUCGUUGAA